rnacentral:rRNA from 1 species
GACGAACGCUGGCGGCGCGCUUAACACAUGCAAGUCGAACGGAAAGGCCUGCUUUCCCUUGUGGAUUGCGGGUACUCGAGUGGCGAACGGGUGAGUAACACGUGAGUGAUCUGCCCCCAACUUGGGUAUAAGCCUGGGAAACUGGGUCUAAUUCCCGAUAGGACUGCAGGGUGGUGCCUGUGGUGGAAAACGAUUUUCUAGUGGUUGGGGAUGAGCUCGCGGCCUAUCGGCUUGUUGGUGGGGUAAUGGCCUACCAAGGCGGCGACGGGUAGCCGGCCUGGGAGGGUGGACGGCCACAUUGGGACUGAGAUACGGCCCAGACUCCUACGGGAGGCAGCAGUGGGGAGUAUUGCACAAUGGGCGGAAGCCUGAUGCAGCGACGCCGCGUGGGGGAUGACGGCCUUCGGGUUGUAAACUCCUUUCGACCGCGAGGAAGCCACCUGGUUGGAAGGGUGGUGACGGUAGUGGUAGAAGAAGCACCGGCUAACUACGUG